rnacentral:rRNA from 1 species
AUUGAACGCUGGCGGCAUGCUUUACACAUGCAAGUCGAACGGCAGCGGGGUAGUGCUUGCACUACUGUCCGGCGAGUGGCGAACGGGUGAGUAAUAUAUCGGAACGUGCCGAGUAAUGGGGGAUAACCAAUCGAAAGAUUGGCUAAUACCGCAUACGUCCUAAGGGAGAAAGCGGGGGAUCGCAAGACCUCGCGUUAUUCGAGCGGCCGAUAACUGAUUAGCUAGUUGGUGGGGUAAAGGCCUACCAAGGCGACGAUCAGUAGCGGGUCUGAGAGGACGAUCCGCCACACUGGGACUGAGACACGGCCCAGACUCCUACGGGAGGCAGCAGUGGGGAAUUUUGGACAAUGGGGGCAACCCUGAUCCAGCCAUGCCGCGUGUAUGAAGAAGGCCUUCGGGUUGUAAAGUACUUUUGUUAGGGAAGAAAAGGGAAGUGCUAAUACCACUUUUUGCUGACGGUACCUAAA